UACGUAGGUGACAAGCGUUGUCCGGAUUUACUGGGCGUAAAGAGCGCGCAGGCGGUCGUUCAAGUCGAGUGUGAAAGCCCCCGGCUCAACUGGGGAGGGUCAUUCGAUACUGAUCGACUCGAAGGCAGGAGAGGGUAGUGGAAUUCCCGGUGUAGUGGUGAAAUGCGUAGAUAUCGGGAGGAACACCAGUGGCGAAGGCGACUACCUGGCCUGUUCGUGACGCUGAGGCGCGAAAGCUAGGGGAGCAAACGGG
rnacentral:rRNA from 1 species